GACGAACGCUGGCGGCGUGCCUAAUACAUGCCAGUUGAGCGCUGAAGGUUGGUACUUGUACCAACUGGAUGAGCAGCGAACGGGUGAGUAACGCGUGGGGAAUCUGCCUUUGAGCGGGGGACAACAUUUGGAAACGAAUGCUAAUACCGCAUAAAAACUUUAAACACAAGUUUUAAGUUUGAAAGAUGCAAUUGCAUCACUCAAAGAUGAUCCCGCGUUGUAUUAGCUAGUUGGUGAGGUAAAGGCUCACCAAGGCGAUGAUACAUAGCCGACCUGAGAGGGUGAUCGGCCACAUUGGGACUGAGACACGGCCCAAACUCCUACGGGAGGCAGCAGUAGGGAAUCCUCGGCAAUGGACGAAAGUCUGACCGAGCAACGCCGCGUGAGUGAAGAAGGUUUUCGGAUCGUAAAACUCUGUUGGUAGAGAAGAACGUUGGUGAGAGUGGAAAGCUCAUCAAGUGACGGUAACUACCCAGAAAGGGACGGCUAACUACGUG
rnacentral:rRNA from 1 species